rnacentral:rRNA from 1 species
GAGCAAGCUUGCUUGCUCUGCCGGCGACCGGCGCACGGGUGAGUAACACGUAUGCAACCUGCCCUCCGCAGGGGGAUAACCCGGAGAAAUCCGGACUAAUACCGCGUGGUACACCAGUGGGGCAUCCCACAGGUGUUAAAAGGAAGUGAUUCCGGCGGAGGAUGGGCAUGCGGCGCAUUAGCUGGUUGGCGGGGUAACGGCCCACCAAGGCGACGAUGCGUAGGGGUUCUGAGAGGAAGGUCCCCCACACUGGUACUGAGACACGGACCAGACUCCUACGGGAGGCAGCAGUGAGGAAUAUUGGUCAAUGGGCGGGAGCCUGAACCAGCCAAGUCGCGUGAGGGAAGACGGUCCUAUGGAUUGUAAACCUCUUUAGGCGGGGAGCAAUGCCGGGCACGUGUGCCCGGAGGGAGAGUACCCGCAGAAUAAGCAUCGGCUAACUCCGUGCCAGCAGCCGCGGUAAUACGGAGGAUGCGAGCGUUAUCCGGAUUUAUUGGGUUUAAAGGGUGCGUAGGCGGAUUUUUAAGUCAGCGGUAAAAUGUCCGGGCUCAACCCGGGCCGGCCGUUGAAACUGGGGAUCUUGAGUGGGCGAGAAGUAUGCGGAAUGCGUGGUGUAGCGGUGAAAUGCAUAGAUAUCACGCAGAACUCCGAUUGCGAAGGCAGCAUACCGGCGCCCGACUGACGCUGAGGCACGAAAGCGUGGGGAU